AAAGAAGGGACAUCUGGUGGAAUGAACUACGUGGUUAAAUCCUUUUUGAAUCAUCUUUUCUGACAACGGGGUGGAAGAGUAACUAGUUGACCACAGAGCUCUCUCUGUUCACAGUGAGAAACAUGCUUUGCCUUGGAGGGAGUCCAUCAGCUAAUAUUAACACAGAGAAGGCGAAAGUGCAGGUUGACAGGAAAGCCUGGCUCUCCCCUGACUCAAUUCAGGAGAUCAUUAAGGACGAAGUCUUGCUGUAAAGUACACCUCUCUUCCUCCGAUGACAGUGACAACCAGGGCGCUGAAUCAGGGGCAGCCUGCUCUCCUUUGACAAACACCCACCCACUUUGCCUCCAGUACUCGUAAGAAGCCAUAAGAAGUUUCUCAGACUUAACGUGUGUGAAAGGGUACUAAAUCUUCCAUCUCCUGGAGGCUGAAAGGAAAAUGGAAAGGUAUGGAAUCUCGGCGUAGGCAAGCAAAUGGCUAGUUAGUACCACCGGAUCUCUGUUUUGUAAGAUAUCUCACUUCAGUCAAUUAAUUAGCAUAUGAGGAUCUCGCUUCUGGUUUCAACCAGUUGCCAUCUGUGCCUCCAUAAAUGCAAUGGCCACUAUGCAGACGUGAUCAGGGCUUUGGACCACACCACAAAGACAAAGACCCUGAGAAUCAGCCUGAAGUUGCACAUCAACAUAUUCCGAGUCAACAAUGUGAAUGCUAACAUGUAAAAACCAGUGCUCAUAAAGAAAUAAACUUUCUUCUUCAUUUGUGGUUAAGAUAGUGUCUACAUACACUUUUGCAAAGACUUUUCUCUUUCUUUGUCUGAGACAUCAUUGGCCCAUGUUUGUCUUCUCUCCUUUUCUCCUCCUGGAUCCUCUGCUCCAAGUCACCAAGAGCCAUGUUUUCAUCAGAACGCCUUGUCUC
rnacentral:lncRNA from 1 species